GAUGAACGCUGGCGGCGUGCCUAAUACAUGCAAGUCGAGCGAACGGACGAGAAGCUUGCUUUUCUGAUGUUAGCGGCGGACGGGUGAGUAACACGUGGAUAGCCUACCUAUAAGACUGGGAUAACUUCGGGAAACCGGAGCUAAUACCGGAUAAUAUUUUGAACCGCAUGGUUCAAAAGUGAAAGACGGUCUUGCUGUCACUUAUAGAUGGAUCCGCGUUGCAUUAGCUAGUUGGUAAGGUAACGGCUUACCAAGGCAACGAUGCAUAGCCGACCUGAGAGGGUGAUCGGCCACACUGGAACUGAGACACGGUCCAGACUCCUACGGGAGGCAGCAGUAGGGAAUCUUCCGCAAUGGGCGAAAGCAUGACGUAGCAACGCCGCGUGAGUGAUGAAGGUCUUCGGAUCGUAAAACUCUGUUAUUAGGGAAGAACAUAUGUGUAAGUAACUGUGCACAUCUUGACGGUACCUAAUCAGAAAGCCACGGCUAACUACGUG
rnacentral:rRNA from 1 species